rnacentral:ncRNA from 1 species
CGGGGGUAGAUCUAUCUCAUGACGAGUGGUGGAAUACUUUGACUCAUGAGAGAGAAGCUGAGGCGAAGGCGUCUACCUAGAGGGUUUCUGUCGAUCAAGGGCGAGAGUAGGAGUAUCCAACAGGAUUAGAGACCCUGGUAGUUCCUACCUUAAACGAUGCCGACAGGAGUUUGUCAUUUGUUAAUGGCAGAAUCUUUGGAGAAAUCAUAGUUCUUGGGCUCUGGGGGAACUACGACCGCAAGGCUGAAACUUGAAGGAAUUGACGGAAGGGCACACCAGGGGUGGAGCCUGUGGCUUAAUUUGAAUCAACACGGGGAAACUUACCAGGACCAGAUGUUUUUUAUGACUGACAGGCUUCGGGUCUUUCAGGAUAUUGUUUUUGGUGGUGCAUGGCCGUUGGUGGUGCGUGGGUUGACCUGUCUAGCGUUGAUUCAGCUAACGAGCGAGAUUAUCGCCAAUUAUUUACUUUGCCGAAGUCCUUCGGUUAAAGUUCUAAUUGGGACUCCCUGCGAUUUUAGCAGGUGGAAGAGGGUAGCAAUAACAGGUCCGUGAUGCCCUUUAGAUGCUCUGGGCUGCACGCGUGCUACAAUGUUAGGAUCAAUAGGACUGCGAGCCUGAGAGGGUGCGCUACUCUUAUAAUCCCUAACGUAGUUGGGAUUGACGUUUGUAAUCAGCGUCAUGAACCAGGAAUCCCUUGUAAAUGUGUGUCAACAACGCACGUUGAAUACGUCCCUGCCCUUUGUACACACCGCCCGUCGCUCCUACCGAUUGGAUGACUCGGUGAAAUCACCGGAUGCUUACGAGCAGAAAGUGAUUAAAUCACGUUAUCUAGAGGAAGGAGAAGUCGUAACAGGUAACGGUAGGUGAACCUGCCGUUGGAUCAGUU